rnacentral:rRNA from 1 species
ACGACUCUUGACAAUGGAUAUCUCGGCUCUCGCAUCGAUGAAGAACGUAGCGAAAUGCGAUACUUGGUGUGAAUUGCAGAAUCCCGUGAACCAUCGAGUCUUUGAACGCAAGUUGCGCCCGAAGCCAUUAGGUUGAGGGCACGUCUGCCUGGGUGUCAUGU